rnacentral:rRNA from 1 species
GAUGAACGCUGGCGGCGUGCCUAACACAUGCAAGUCGAGCGAUUCUCUUCGGAGAAGAGCGGCGGACGGGUGAGUAACGCGUGGGUAACCUGCCCUGUACACACGGAUAACAUACCGAAAGGUAUGCUAAUACGAGAUGAUAUAUAAAAGUUGCAUGACUUUUAUAUCAAAGCUUUUGCGGUACAGGAUGGACCCGCGUCUGAUUAGCUAGUUGGUAAGGUAACGGCUUACCAAGGCGACGAUCAGUAGCCGACCUGAGAGGGUGAUCGGCCACACUGGAACUGAGACACGGUCCAGACUCCUACGGGAGGCAGCAGUGGGGAAUAUUGCACAAUGGGCGAAAGCCUGAUGCAGCAACGCCGCGUGGAGCGAUGAAGGCCUUCGGGUCGUAAAGCUCUGUCCUCAAGGAAGAUAAUGACGGUACUUGAGGAGGAAGCCCCGGCUAACUACGUGCCAGCAGCCGCGGUAAUACGUAGGGGGCUAGCGUUAUCCGGGAAUUACUGGGCGUAAAGGGUGCGUAGGCGGUCUUUCAAGCCAGAAGUGAAAGGCUACGGCUCAACCGUAGUAAGCUUUUGGAACUGUAGGACUUGAGUGCAGGAGAGGAGAGUGGAAUUCCUAGUGUAGCGGUGAAAUGCGUAGAUAUUAGGAGGAACACCAGUAGCGAAGGCGGCUCUCUGGACUGUAACUGACGCUGAGGCACGAAAGCGUGGGGAGCAAACAGGAUUAGAUACCCUGGUAGUCCACGCCGUAAACGAUGAGUACUAGGUGUCGGGGGUUACCCCCCUCGGUGCCGCAGCUAACGCAUUAAGUACUCCGCCUGGGAAGUACGCUCGCAAGAGUGAAACUCAAAGGAAUUUGACGGGGACCCGCACAAGUAGCGGAGCAUGUGGUUUAAUUCGAAGCAACGCGAAGAACCUUACCUAAGCUUGACAUCCCAUUGACCUCUCCCUAAUCGGAGAUUUCCCUUCGGGGACAGUGGUGACAGGUGGUGCAUGGUUGUCGUCAGCUCGUGUCGUGAGAUGUUGGGUUAAGUCCCGCAACGAGCGCAACCCUUGCCUUUAGUUGCCAGCAUUAAGUUGGGCACUCUAGAGGGACUGCCGAGGAUAACUCGGAGGAAGGUGGGGAUGACGUCAAAUCAUCAUGCCCCUUAUGCUUAGGGCUACACACGUGCUACAAUGGGUGGUACAGAGGGUUGCCAAACCGUGAGGUGGAGCUAAUCCCUUAAAGCCAUUCUCAGUUCGGAUUGUAGGCUGAAACUCGCCUACAUGAAGCUGGAGUUACGAGUAAUCGCAGAUCAGAAUGCUGCGGUGAAUGCGUUCCCGGGUCU